UGUCUUCCUGGGUGGGUGAUUUGGGAUGAACCCACUGGGAAACCAGUUUUAUUCUGUAUCUCCUUUCCUGUUCCCUUUAGGAAGUGUGCUGCCAAGCUCUGUGUUGCCAAGCUGUGUACCCUGGCCCAGGGAUGUGCCCAACCAGGGUAUCAUGUGCCAUUGAGGGGAUAGCAUUAGCUUCAAAACAGAGGAGCCAGCAGAAAAAAACAGAACAGUCAGAGAAGUUGAAGAAGACCUGAGGAUUUGUUUCCUGGAAUCUCAGAAAGGCAAGAAGGUGAUUAAUGAAGCUGCAAGGUGCAGACAAAUCAACCAGAAGUGAUCUGCUAAGACUUUGAUAUUGAAUCCUAGGACUUCCUGGGCCCAAAGGAACCUAUAUCCCUUCAUUACAUUUUUUCUACAGAAUGAGGCAUGUACCCAGGUCCUGGGUCUUGCAGGGGAUGCUGAGUCACCCCGCUGCAGGAGGGCAGGUCUGUGCACGCCCUGCUGAGGUCCUGGGUUGCACAGAACACACCGAGUCACCCCACUGCAGACAGGCAGCCACCUGGUUCCACACUACAAAGACGCAGAGGACACCAGACCACCAGACCAAGGUACUGAGUCCCGCUGCUCCCGGCCCAGAGGUAGGGGCUUCUGAGCUGCCAUCCCACUGCUCCUGGUCCAGAGGAAGGGGCUUCCCGGUCACCAUCCCUCCUGCUGCUCCCAGCCCAGAGGAAAGGGCUUUUAGGCCACCUUCUGUCCUGCUGCUCCUGGCCCAGAGGAAGGGGCUUCCAGGCCACCAACCCUCCCACUGCUCCCAGCCCAGAGGUAGGGACUUCUGAGCCGCCAUCCCACUGCUCCUGGUCCAGAGGAAGGGGCUUCCCAGCCACCAUCCCUCUCGCUGCUCCCAGCCCACAGGAAAGGGCUUUUGGGUCGCCAUCCCUACUGCUGCUCCC
rnacentral:lncRNA from 1 species